rnacentral:lncRNA from 1 species
UUUUGGUUUGUUGCUUGUUAAGGUCAUUGCUUGGGAAAAAGAAAACAAAAGACGAGGAGGAGGAGGAGAAAGUAUAGAAACAAGAAAUAGAAGCAGGAGCAUAAGCGAAUGAAGAGGAACUAGAUGAUGGUGAUGAGAAAAAGAAAAAACAGACUGGAAGAAAGUAGGAAAAACAGGUGCUGCUGCUUCUUGGCCUUCUGCACCCUC